UACGGAGGGUGCAAGCGUUAUCCGGAUUCACUGGGUUUAAAGGGUGCGUAGGUGGGCAAGUAAGUCAGUGGUGAAAUCUCCGGGCUUAACCCGGAAACUGCCAUUGAUACUAUUUGUCUUGAAUACUGUGGAGGUCAGCGGAAUAUGUCAUGUAGCGGUGAAAUGCGUAGAGAUCGGUAGGAACACCAGUGGCGAAGGCGGUCUCUUGGCCCACUCUUGACGCUGAGGCGCGAAAGCUGGGGGAGCGAACGGG
rnacentral:rRNA from 1 species